CCCAACCUUCGUUUCCCUCUUCUCUCAUCCUCUCUCUCCUUUUUAUUUCUCUCAACUAACAGAAUGAAAUUCUCUCUCUCCGGCCACCAUAAACGACACCGAUAAGGGCUCAAAAACAUUCUUUUUGGCCUCUCACCGGUUCCCUUAGGCAAAUCGAACCCUAAUUUUCUAAAUCAAUCUCGCAUACUCCCUAAAAACAAAACCCGAGAAAAUAAGGGUACCUUUCUUUUUAUUUUUGGAGACUCUACGACUUCGGCGAAGCAAGACAACUCGAGUCCAGCGUGAGUGGCGGUUGCGAGCAUGGUUCGGCUUGGACGGUGGCAA